AGGAAGAGACAAGAGAAAGUCUAUCUCUCUCAGCCAACACAGAGGAAAGGCCAUGUGAGGAUACAGUGAGAAGGUGGCCAUUUACCAAACAGGAAGAGAGGCCUCACCAGACACCAAUCUUGCCAGCACUUGAUCUUGGACUUCAAGCCUCUAAAAUGGUGAUCUGGUCCAUUUCUUGUUUCAAAGAUUUGUAGUGGUGGGCUAUACUUGAGAAGUUAUUGUGACUGUUUUCCAUUGAGGGACUUUCUUUGCUCACAGUGUGGAAAUAUGUAUGACAGCUUUCACCACAAAGGAAGUUAAGGAUAUAGAGUGAAUUUAUUUAUUUAUUCAUGAGAAACACAGACUGAGAGACAGAGAGGCAGAAACUU